UACGAAGGGGGCUAGCGUUGUUCGGAAUUACUGGGCGUAAAGCGCACGUAGGCGGAUACUUAAGUUAGGGGUGAAAUCCCGGGGCUCAACCCCGGAACUGCCCUUAAUACUGGGUAUCUCGAGUUCGAGAGAGGUGAGUGGAAUUCCGAGUGUAGAGGUGAAAUUCGUAGAUAUUCGGAGGAACACCAGUGGCGAAGGCGGCUCACUGGCUCGAUACUGACGCUGAGGUGCGAAAGCGUGGGGAGCAAACAGG
rnacentral:rRNA from 1 species